GGGGUUGACUGGAUUUGACAGCGGGUUGAAAUGGUACGUAAGCACGCGGAGCGUCGGCUGUUUGCUCCUAAAUAUCAGCGGUCAACAAAUUAAUUGGCAACAAUGAGUAUGCUCUCGCUGCUUAAUCGAAGCACAGUAGAUUAUGAGCUUAAUUCUCUUACAAGGUAGGAGAACGAGACGUCGCUCCGAGGAUGUUGUUCCGAAUCCAAAGAUCAAGCGGCGCAGGUUAAAUCGGAAAUAGUCCCUGUGGGCUCCGACUCAGGGAUGAAGUUCAGGAGCUAAGGUGUCAGUUGGUGGCUUAGGUCUUGCUGGCAUUCGAAAACCAAAGGCUAAGAUAAGCGUGUAGAAAGCGUAUGGUUUCCCUGUUUGGACGAGGGUUCGACUCCCUCCAGCUCCACU
rnacentral:tmRNA from 1 species